GCCUGUCCUGAUCAGGGAUGACACAGAAAAUAAAACCUUCAUUGUGACAAUGAGUGGGCUGGAGAGGAAGGACACUGGCUGGCAUUGGUGUGCUGCUGGAAACCUGCAGAUUCCAGUUCAUAUAACUGUCAAACAAGGAGGGGAUAAUGAAAAACUGAGGUGGGAGCAGGUUCUGGAUGCUGUACUGAAAGCUGGGACUGGUGUGUUUUAUCUGAUUUGCACCAUCAUCACCAUUCAGCUGCACUGGACCUCCUGUAGAAAGCGGGAACCAAUCAGAGAGAAGCAGAGGGU